CUGCGACGUGUUUUUCAUACAGAGAGAACUUGGAUCUUGUCUAUGAACUAUAUAUAUAUAUACAUAUAUAUAUUAUCUGUUAUUUGUAUCAAUCAUUAGGCUUUGGCCACGCUGGAGCACCAUAUACACUUUCUCUGUCUCGCACAUAUUUCCGUGUAUUUUAUAGUUUGUUUUGAAGAAAUCUACAGCCACGUUUAUCAGGCUACUUAUAUCUCUGUAUAAUUAAUUGAUUAAUGAAUUAAUUGUUAUUAUUAUUAUUAUCGUGAUGUGUUCGCCGAUAAACAAAUCUCGUCCAUGUGAGACGAACGGGGACCGAACCUCUAGACCUGGGUCCUUUAAUUUAUUACCGCGAACACAAUUCGAUUACAACCCCCCGUAUCUCCGCCAACCUAAAGAAAUCGGUUGUUUUUCACUAGAUUUAGACCGUAAAAUAUCUUGCGACAAAAGUCAGCUACGAUAUUAUAUCGAACCAGAAACACCUGACGAUGUUUGUAUGAAUUUAAGGGAGGGUUACAAAGAUCUCAUACAGAAAGACGAAAGCAAAAAAGACUUGUUAGAUGAUAUUUUAAGAUGGAUCAGUUGUCACCGAAGCCUAUUUUCUCUUUCGAUUCCAUCCUCUAAGUCUUCUGAUUCUGACAAACAACACUGCAGGACAUCUCAAGAGAAACUCAACACUGACUUUAUCAGCUGGAGAGGGUGUCUGACCCGACUGAUGUGUACCCCGUACGAAAACCGUGACGGUUGGCUUCUCGCAGUCACCCGAUUCAACGAUACGUUUUUCCUGUGUGAAUUUAACACCGAAGAGAAGAUAGAACUUGAAGCUAAUUGCACAGAUCGUCAACGUGAAAUGUGUUAUUGGGGUGUGAAAUUUGAACAAUAUCUCACUUCUGCUACAAAAGAAUCAAAGCCAGACACAACAGGCAUUGUUAAUAAUUGUGAAGCUUUCUGCUCUGUGGUCAGAACACGUCUCAAAAGCCAUUCUUUAGUGUUUGCGGGAGAGGUCGACUGUAUCUGUCCACAGCAGAAAGAAUACAUUGAACUGAAGACGUCGAGGGAAAUCUAUAAUAAGUCACAGGAUGACAACUUCAAAAGAUUCAAGCUAAUCAAGUGGUGGGGCCAGAGUUUCCUGAUUGGAGUUCCAACCAUUGUUUGUGGUUUCCGAGAUGACGACGGAAUCGUUCAUCGUUUACAGAAGUACCACAUCAAUAUGCUGCCGAAUUUGGCCAAAGUAAGCAGAGUGAAGGAAUAAUUCUUUCUUAAAAAACAAAAAAAAAACCCCAAAUUUCUUUAAUUACAGGAUUUACCAAACUCAUGGUACCCUAAGGUUUGCAUCAACUUCUUGGAUCAGUUCCUUAAUUUCAUUAAAGAGACUGUUAAAGACAAUGACCACAGAAGUGUCCACUUAUUUAGUCGGGAACC
rnacentral:misc_RNA from 1 species